rnacentral:rRNA from 1 species
CUCGAUGAGUAGGGCGGGACACGUGGUAUCCUGUCUGAAUAUGGGGGGACCAUCCUCCAAGGCUAAAUACUCCUGACUGACCGAUAGUGAACCAGUACCGUGAGGGAAAGGCGAAAAGAACCCCGGCGAGGGGAGUGAAAAAGAACCUGAAACCGUGUACGUACAAGCAGUGGGAGCACCCUUUGGGUGUGACUGCGUACCUUUUGUAUAAUGGGUCAGCGACUUAUAUUCUGUAGCAAGGUUAACCGAAUAGGGGAGCCGGAGGGAAACCGAGUCUUAACCGGGCGUUAAGUUGCAGGGUAUAGACCCGAAACCCGGUGAUCUAGCCAUGGGCAGGUUGAAGGUUGGGUAACACUAACUGGAGGACCGAACCGACUAAUGUUGAAAAAUUAGCGGAUGACCUGUGGCUGGGGGUGAAAGGCCAAUCAAACCGGGAGAUAGCUGGUUCUCCCCGAAAGCUAUUUAGGUAGCGCCUCGUGAAUUCAUCUCCGGGGGUAGAGCACUGUUUCGGCUAGGGGGCCAUCCCGGCUUACCAACCCGAUGCAAACUGCGAAUACCGGAGAAUGUUAUCACGGGAGACACACGGCGGGUGCUAACGUCCGUCGUGAAGAGGGAAACAACCCAGACCGCCAGCUAAGGUCCCAAAGUCAUGGUUAAGUGGGAAACGAUGUGGGAAGGCCCAGACAGCCAGGAUGUUGGCUUAGAAGCAGCCAUCAUUUAAAGAAAGCGUAAUAGCUCACUGGUCGAGUCGGCCUGCGCGGAAGAUGUAACGGGGCUAAACCAUGCACCGAAGCUGCGGCAGCGACACUGUGUGUUGUUGGGUAGGGGAGCGUUCUGUAAGCCUGUGAAGGUGUGUCGUGAGGC